ACAGCAGUAGCCACGGUAAUACGUAGGGUGCAAGCGUUAAUCGGAAUUACUGGGCGUAAAGCGUGCGCAGGCGGUUUUGUAAGACAGAGGUGAAAUCCCCGGGCUCAACCUGGGAACUGCCUUUGUGACUGCAAGGCUAGAGUACGGCAGAGGGGGAUGGAAUUCCGCGUGUAGCAGUGAAAUGCGUAGAUAUGCGGAGGAACACCGAUGGCGAAGGCAAUCCCCUGGGCCUGUACUGACGCUCAUGCACGAAAGCGUGGGGAGCAAACAGGAUUAGAUACCCCUGUAGUCCCUGUCUCUUAUAC
rnacentral:rRNA from 1 species